AUUGAACGCUGGCGGCAUGCCUAAUACAUGCAAGUCGAACGGUAAGAGGAAGAAGUUUCCUCCUUUGCUUUCGCGGGGCGGCGGGGAGUGACAUGUGUGUGACCUUCCUUGAAGAAGGGGGUUAAUUCCUGGAAACGGUAGUUAUUACCGCAUAUCUUUUCAAGCGCAUAGUGCAGGAGUUACAGACGGUCUUCCUUUCACUUCUACCUGAAUCCAGUCGGCAUUAGCUAGUAGGUGGGGUAACGGCUCACCUAGGCGACGAUCCCUAGCUGGUCUGAGAGGAUGACCAGCCACACUGGAACUGAGACACGGUCCAGACUCCUACGGGAGGCAGCAGUGGGGAAUAUUGCACAAUGGGCGCAAGCCUGAUGCAGCCAUGCCGCGUGUAUGAAGAAGGCCUUCGGGUUGUAAAGUACUUUCAGCGGGGAGGAAGGGAGUAAAGUUAAUACCUUUGCUCAUUGACGUUACCCGCAGAAGAAGCACCGGCUAACUCCGUG
rnacentral:rRNA from 1 species